CUCAAAAUCCAUAUGUAAAUUCAGGAAAUAACCUGUCAAAUGACAAUGUCUGCCAAAAUGAUUAACCUUGAAUUGAAAACAAAUAAGCAAGUUGAUAAGGUUAUAGAAAAUUGUUGCAAUAUACUACAGAACAUUAAAUUUCAAAAAACAAUGUUCUCGAAAUAAACAAUAACAUUCUCUCUUGGGUAAUUGGCAAUUGUCUAAAUAACAUUGAAAGAGAAAAUAAAUUAAGUCAUCCAGGACGUCCUUCUCUUGAUGACAGCAAGGAAAAUCCACGAGAAUAAACAACAUCACAUUGACAGAAUACAAAGUCAUGAUUUGAAGAAUGUUUAAAGGGAUCUAUGUUGAAAUGUAACAUUUUGGAGAGCAGCUUAAACAAUGACAAAAAAAUUGUGGGGAUUCUGGAAAUGUGAUACAAACAAAAAUACUUGAAGCAGUGAUUCCUUAGCUAAUUCAUAAACUGAUCAAAAGACUACAGAGUUGAGGAAGUAAAAGUUACUUUUAAAUGAAUGGAAAUAUAGUUAAGGGUAACUGUGUCUGAACAAGCAAUAUUGAAGAAGAAUGUUUGCAAGUUUAUACAAACCAUCUAUCAUAUAUGGGAAAAUAAUAUUUACUAGGAUAAAAAGUUGCUACAACUAGGGAUAACAUUUCAGCAUCAACAAGACCCUGGCACCAGUUUGAUAGAAGUACCAUUGAGUUAACUAUCACCAUAAUGCAGAGAAGUGAUGCGUAUAAUACAAUCUUUGCACCUCAAAAAAAGCCAUACAGUGAUUCAUCAGGGAGACCAGAGAAUGGAAAACAUUCCGAGAGUUCUCGAGAAAACUCCUACAGAUUUCCAGUGACUUAGAGAAAAGGCUGGAUUGGAAAGGAAGGAAAGCAAAAUUCCAAAAAGUGAUCUCAAGUUACAAAGGAAAUGAAAAGUUCCCGUUUUUGGUUAUCUAGAAGAGAAAGGGUUUGGUUUAUCACAAAACAUUGGACUUCAAUGACUAGACUGACCCUCUGUGCCGGUAAUGAUCCUCCCACAUGGUCAUGUCAGAAUCAUGCAGACUAUUCACUUGAGACAGAGUAAUCUGUAUUAUUGAAUAAAGUUAUUGAACUUGAAUAACUGAA